rnacentral:rRNA from 1 species
UACGAAGGGGGCUAGCGUUGCUCGGAAUUACGUGGGACGGUAAAGGCGCGUAGGCGGCGUGAUCAGUCAGGCGUGAAAUUCCUGGGCUUAACCUGGGGGCUGCGCUUGAUACGGUCGUGCUAGAGGGCAGAAGAGGGUCGUGGAAUUCCCAGUGUAGAGGUGAAAUUCGUAGAUAUUGGGAAGAACACCAGUGGCGAAGGCGGCUAACUGGUCCGGUACUGACGCUGAGGUGCGAAAGCGUGGGGAGCAAACAGG